rnacentral:rRNA from 1 species
CCUACGGGGGGCAGCAGUGGGGAAUAUUGGACAAUGGGGGCAACCCUGAUCCAGCCAUGCCGCGUGUGUGAAGAAGGCCCUCGGGUUGUAAAGCACUUUCAGUGAGGAAGAACGCCUGGUGGUUAAUACCCAUCAGGAAAGACAUCACUCACAGAAGAAGCACCGGCUAACUCCGUGCCAGCAGCCGCGGUAAUACGGAGGGUGCGAGCGUUAAUCGGAAUUACUGGGCGUAAAGCGCGCGUAGGUGGCUUGAUAAGCCGGUUGUGAAAGCCCCGGGCUCAACCUGGGAACGGCAUCCGGAACUGUCUAGCUAGAGUGCAGGAGAGGAAGGUAGAAUUCCCGGUGUAGCGGUGAAAUGCGUAGAGAUCGGGAGGAAUACCAGUGGCGAAGGCGGCCUUCUGGACUGCCACUGACACUGAGGUGCGAAAGCGUGGGUAGCAAACAGGAUUAGAUACCCGAGUAGUC